rnacentral:rRNA from 1 species
GAUGAACGCUGGCGGCGUGCCUAAUACAUGCAAGUCGAGCGAACGGACGAGAAGCUUGCUUCUCUGAUGUUAGCGGCGGACGGGUGAGUAACACGUGGAUAACCUACCUAUAAGACUGGGAUAACUUCGGGAAACCGGAGCUAAUACCGGAUAAUAUUUUGAACCGCAUGGUUCAAAAGUGAAAGACGGUCUUGCUGUCACUUAUAGAUGGAUCCGCGCUGCAUUAGCUAGUUGGUAAGGUAACGGCUUACCAAGGCAACGAUGCAUAGCCGACCUGAGAGGGUGAUCGGCCACACUGGAACUGAGACACGGUCCAGACUCCUACGGGAGGCAGCAGUAGGGAAUCUUCCGCAAUGGGCGAAAGCCUGACGGAGCAACGCCGCGUGAGUGAUGAAGGUCUUCGGAUCGUAAAACUCUGUUAUUAGGGAAGAACAUAUGUGUAAGUAACUGUGCACAUCUUGACGGUACCUAAUCAGAAAGCCACGGCUAACUACGUGCCAGCAGCCGCGGUAAUACGUAGGUGGCAAGCGUUAUCCGGAAUUAUUGGGCGUAAAGCGCGCGUAGGCGGUUUUUUAAGUCUGAUGUGAAAGCCCACGGCUCAACCGUGGAGGGUCAUUGGAAACUGGAAAACUUGAGUGCAGAAGAGGAAAGUGGAAUUCCAUGUGUGGCGGUGAAAUGCGCAGAGAUAUGGAGGAACACCAGUGGCGAAGGCGACGUUCUGGUCUGUAACUGACGCUGAUGUGCGAAAGCGUGGGGAUCAAACAGGAUUAGAUACCCUGGUAGUCCACGCCGUAAACGAUGAGUGCUAAGUGUUAGGGGGUUUCCGCCCCUUAGUGCUGCAGCUAACGCAUUAAGCACUCCGCCUGGGGAGUACGACCGCAAGGUUGAAACUCAAAGGAAUUGACGGGGACCCGCACAAGCGGUGGAGCAUGUGGUUUAAUUCGAAGCAACGCGAAGAACCUUACCAAAUCUUGACAUCCUUUGACAACUCUAGAGAUAGAGCCUUCCCCUUCGGGGGACAAAGUGACAGGUGGUGCAUGGUUGUCGUCAGCUCGUGUCGUGAGAUGUUGGGUUAAGUCCCGCAACGAGCGCAACCCUUAAGCUUAGUUGCCAUCAUUAAGUUGGGCACUCUAAGUUGACUGCCGGUGACAAACCGGAGGAAGGUGGGGAUGACGUCAAAUCAUCAUGCCCCUUAUGAUUUGGGCUACACACGUGCUACAAUGGACAAUACAAAGGGCAGCGAAACCGCGAGGUCAAGCAAAUCCCAUAAAGUUGUUCUCAGUUCGGAUUGUAGUCUGCAACUCGACUACAUGAAGCUGGAAUCGCUAGUAAUCGUAGAUCAGCAUGCUACGGUGAAUACGUUCCCGGGUCU